UAAUGAUUUGAACUUGGCCAGAUCGUUACGACCUCGGUUGUGUUUAGGAAGAGGGUUUCAGAGGGAGGGGGCAGCUAUGGAGAAUGCUCUAUUGCUCCAGCUCUGGUGCUUAGUUCUGAGUGUUAUACACAGGAAUUUGGCAUCAGAGGAAUGGAGACUUUGGGAAAGAGAGUAAUAUUGGAGCAAGUCGGUGAGGUAGGUUGGGUCUGGUUAUGAAGAGCUUUGUGAGUGAAGGGAAGGACUUUUAAUUGAAUCCAUUGUGGGGCAGGAAGCCAGUGAAACUUCUGGAGGGCAGGAGUGAUAUGGUCCCGAGAACGAGUUCUGGAUGUACUGGAGUUUAUUUAGAUUUUGGAUGAUGUGUAAUAGAGAAUGCUGCUGCAGUAGUCGAUUCUGGAUGUGAUGAAGGCAUGGAUCAAAGUUUCAGCAGCAAAGAAGAUAUAGCCUCUUAGGAGACUAUUUUGACUUCUUUUAUGAUGGGCCCAAUCUAAUGGUCCCAUUUGGAUUGGCUGGAUGACAAGCAGCUUUGCUACAUCAAAGAGGGGGGGUUCAAUAUAUGCAAAUGUACAGGAGCAGAUCUAGAGGCUCACAGGCAUAGAGUGUUGUGGUGAACUGGGAUGUUUGGAUGCUGUCCCCCCCCGCUUUCAUGCAUUCACCCAGGUUUG